rnacentral:rRNA from 1 species
GACGAACGCUGGCGGCGUGCUUAACACAUGCAAGUCGAACGAGAAUCUACUGAAAGAGUUUUCGGACAAUGGAUGUAGAGGAAAGUGGCGGACGGGUGAGUAACGCGUGAGGAACCUGCCUUGAAGAGGGGGACAACAGUUGGAAACGACUGCUAAUACCGCAUGAAGCAUAGGGGUAGCAUGAUCUUUAUACCAAAGAUUUAUCGCUUCAAGAUGGCCUCGCGUCUGAUUAGCUGGUUGGCGGGGUAACGGCCCACCAAGGCGACGAUCAGUAGCCGGACUGAGAGGUUGAACGGCCACAUUGGGACUGAGAUACGGCCCAGACUCCUACGGGAGGCAGCAGUGGGGAAUAUUGGGCAAUGGGCGCAAGCCUGACCCAGCAACGCCGCGUGAAGGAAGAAGGCUUUCGGGUUGUAAACUUCUUUUAAGAGGGAAGAGCAGAAGACGGUACCUCUAGAAUAAGCCACGGCUAACUACGUGCCAGCAGCCGCAGUAA